rnacentral:rRNA from 1 species
AGCAGCCGCGGUAAUUCCAGCUCCAAUAGCGUAUAUUAAAGUUGUUGCAGUUAAAAAAGCUCGUAGUUGAAUUUCGGGAUCAAUAUGUCUGUCGUGCCUUCGGUACGUACGGGUAUAAUUGGUUUCUACCUUCUGAUGAACCUUGAUGCCAUUAAUUUGGUGUCUUGGGGACUCAGGACUGUUACCUUGAAAAAAUUAGAGUGUUUAAAGCAGGCAUACGCUUGAAUACAUUAGCAUGGAAUAAUGAAAUAGGACGUUCGAUUCUAUUUUGUUGGUUUCUAGGAUCGACGUAAUGAUUAAUAGGGAUAGUUGGGGGCAUUAGUAUUCAAUUGUCAGAGGUGAAAUUCUUGGAUUUAUUGAAGACUAACUACUGCGAAAGCAUUUGCCAAGGAUGUUUUCAUUAAUCAAGAACGAAAGUUAGGGGAAUCGAAGACGAUCAGAUACCAUCGUAGUCUUAACCAUAAACUAAUGCCGACUAGGGAUCGGAUGAUGUUAAUUUUUAAUGACUCAUUUUGGCGUC